GAAUAAGCUUAUAACUUUCCUUGCAAGUUGUCGCCAACUCGAUCUUAGCUUGCAUAGUAGAUAUUAUUCUUGUCAACUCGUGCUUGGCUUGCACCUUUGAUAAUAUCUUCCCCAACUCACGCUUAGCUUUUAUCUCUGAUAAUAUCUUGCAAGUGGCACAAGUGGACAAGUUGUGCAAGUUGCCUACUUGCAUCACAAAAUAUCCCGCUGCAGGUUCAUGUAUUUUUCCUCCAAAAUGGCUGGGUCGGGAUUUAGAAAAAUCUCAUUAACGCCAUGGAAAACUGCACAAUUUUAGGCAGCCUGCAUUCUGUCCAUUCUAUCCUGUUGCAGCGUGCUGUCUACGCUGUUUUGCGGUCGCUACCAGGACGGAUCGAACGCGACCGCGUGGGGCGUAAGUCACUCCCCUACCGAAUUUGGCGACGCCCUCGUCGCCAUGUAGUUCUGAAGCUCGUACUCAAAUUGCCAUAGAUCUCCCUCAUUUUCCCAAGUAGCUUCGGACUCGGGCAAUCCCUUCCAUUUGAUUAAGUAUUGAGUGCAAGGGGGAGCACCUCUCCGUCUCACCACUCGAACCGCCAAAAUGGAUUCAACCGCUUUCUCAAAAGAUUUUGUGACGAUGGGAGGUGCUCUCUUUGAUUUGUUUCUCCCUAGAUCCUCUAAGUCCAGCCUAUGUGGUUUCAACAUGCUUACAUGAAAAAUCGGGUGGAUCUUUAAAGUGCUUGGAAGAUCAAGCCGAUAGGAAACUCUUCCAACCUUCGCUAGGAUGGGGAACGGACCUUCAUAUUUUCUAACCAAGCCCUUGUGAACUUUGCGGUAGGCUUUGAAUUGUUGAGGCAACACUUUCACAAGUACUUGAUCUCUAAUGUUGAAUUCCAAUGGUCUUCGUCUCACAUCGGCCCAUUUCUUCAUUCGCUUCCGGACUUUCUCCAAGCAAGAUCUUGCUAAGUCCACAUGAUCUCCCCAUGACUUAGCCAUUUUGAUUGCUCCAGGACUUCCGUUAGAGUCACCAACCAUAGAUAAUGUGUGGGGCGUUGUAGGUUGUCGCCCUGUUGCAAGCUCAAAUGGACUAUGUCCCGUGGAUUCACUUUUCUGUAAGUUGUAGGAAAAUUGGGCUAUGUCCAUCAACUUCGCCCAAUCCCGUUGAUUAGCACUAACAAAGUGUCGAAGAUAACACUCCAACAAUGCGUUCACCCGUUCCGUUUGUCCAUCUGUCUGAGGGUGAAAACUACUUGAAAAGUGCAAAUUCAAUCCAAAGAGUUUAAACAACUCCGUCUACAAUUUUCCCGUGAAGCGGGGAUCCCGAUCACUUACAAUAUGUUUCGGCAAUCCCCAAUACUUCACAACAUUUUUGAAGAAUAACCUUGCCGUCUCC
rnacentral:lncRNA from 1 species